GACGAACGCUGGCGGCGUGCUUAACACAUGCAAGUCGAACGGAAAGGCCCUGCUUUUGUGGGGUGCUCGAGUGGCGAACGGGUGAGUAACACGUGAGUAACCUGCCCUUGACUUUGGGAUAACUUCAGGAAACUGGGGCUAAUACCGGAUAUGAUCUCCUGCUGCAUGGUGGGGGUUGGAAAGUUUCGGCGGUUGGGGAUGGACUCGCGGGUUAUCAGCUUGUUGGUGGGGUAGUGGCUUACCAAGGCUUUGACGGGUAGCCGGCCUGGGAGGGGGACCGGCCAAAUUGGGACGGGGAUACGGCCCAGACUCCUACGGGAGGAAGCAGUGGGGAAUAUGGCACAAUGGGCGGAAGCCUGAUGCAGCAACGCCGCGUGCGGGAUGACGGCCUUCGGGUUGUAAACCGCUUUCGCCGGUGACGAAGCGUGAGUGACGGUAAUGGGUAAAGAAGCACCGGCUAACUACGUG
rnacentral:rRNA from 1 species